UUACUCCCCAUUCGGAUUGAUACCCGACUUCCGGAUACCAAAUGUCAUAUCCAACUCGUUUCGUCAAUUGGUAUCCUUAGUCGUGGUCUCAAUCUGUACACGGCGAGAGUGUUGU
rnacentral:pre_miRNA from 18 species